GACGAACGCUAGCGACGUGCCUAAGAAAUGCAAGUCGAACGGGGGGAGCAGUCCCCUAGUGGCGAACGGUCGCGUAACACGUGGGCAACCUGCCCUGAAGCGGGGGACAACAAGCCGAAAGGUUUGCUAAUACCGCAUGUGGAUCGCUCUGGCAUCAGAGAUUAUCCAAAGCCGCAAGGCACUUCAGGAUGGGCCCGCGGCCUAUCAGCUUGUUGGUGGGGUAACGGCCUACCAAGGCGACGACGGGUAGCUGGUCUGAGAGGACGAUCAGCCGGAU
rnacentral:rRNA from 1 species